AGAGGAGGAAGAAGAAGAACAAGGAGAAGAUGACAACAAUUAUUAUAUAAUAUAUUCAUCUUCGAUUUCUUUUACUUCUUCUUCCUCU
rnacentral:ribozyme from 14 species